ensembl:lncRNA
AAUGCUGUGGAGCAGAUGGGCUGCUGGCGUUCUGCUGACUCCAAGCCCUGCACAUUUAAGCAGGUUGAUAUCGAUGUUCUAAAAUUGUUCUCUGCAGUUAUUUUGUUUUUGUUUUCUUUUUCCAAGGUUAAACCGUACGCUUGCUGGUACAUUUGAAGAUAUUUAUGAUUGUCCCCAAGCUCUCUCUGGUCGUUACCAUUGAGUCGUGUUGAUGUGCAUGUGUGUGUAUACAUACCUGCAUGCAAAAUUGUGCCUGUGACCUGUUCAUCCAUUCUCUAUGUAUUAGUUACUAUUCCAUAACCACCUCCCAGAAAUGCUAACUGGCAUCGUGCUCCCAGGAGCGAUGACAGGUCGUUUGUCACAAACAGUGGGAGGCAUGAGGAGUAUUUGUUUCUUGCUCCUGUAAUUGUUGUGCGCUGCUUUUGUCAUUUGGGAAGUUUUGCUGAGUGGAUCCUUGCCCGUGCCCUGGUGCGCUAGUCCAUCUUCCAUCCAACUGCUCUCCUUUUUCAGGCUGGGCUUUGAAAAAUCCUUAUGCUUUUGGGACAGCGCUAAUGUAGACCUCAUGUGAUGAUUUACACAAAGCAAAUGUAAUUCAUGUAUUCUUUAAAUCUCAGAAGCAUGUUAUUUCAAACCUUGCUGAUGCUAAGAACCAAGGGAUGUGUUAGUGUGCUGGGUUCAGAUAAAGGUUGCCUUUUGAUUACAUCUUUGCUUUUUAAAUAAAUGGUGUUAGGAAGAAUUGAAUUAUGCAUCCAUGGCGUGAGUUGCCUGCUUGCCAACCAGCAUGAUUAUAACUGCUCUUCUAAACUACCCCCAAAUGAGUCAGUUGUCUUAAACCCCUGGAAAGGAGGACUCUUGUUGAAUUAUUUGAGAUGUGUUGUGGUCCCUUAGAACGUGGAAAAAUCCCUUGUGAGGAUAUGCUGGAUGUACAGAGGUUUCCUGGCCAAGCUCUCUGUAUUUCCUCUAUUCCAUAUUAGUAAACUGCAGCUCAGAAUUUUGAGAAUGGCCCAGCUGAAAAGGUUGGCUGGUAAGAUUUUUUUAUUUUUAAUAGUUUGCCAGUCUGUGUUCAUCUGUCAGGGGUGCAAGUUACCUUCUGGCCCACCUCUGCACUUGCUGUCACUGUGCUGGCAAAAGCCCCACUGGGCACACUCACACCAGCAAAAAUAAGUUGUUUUAUUGGUAUGGCUCCGCUUGGGGAUUAACAGGAGCUGCACCACAAAAUUCAGCCUCCAUGAGCAAUGCUGGAGCCCGUUGUCUCUUCCCAGCAAACUCUAUCCUGUGUCAGUGGCAGCUCUGUUUGGAUGAAGUCCUUUACCGUGCCAGCGAGCAGAAGGCUGCUGGUGUUCCCUUGGAAGAGUCACAGCUAUUGGCAUUAAAUGCAUUUCAGGGCCAUCCUGCUUUCAAGGGAAAAACAGCAUGAUUGCGCAAUGAGACUUAGUGCAAACUCUCCCGGCUUUUCUUUCUGCCGUGCUGUUUUCUCCCCAUUUGCAGGCUGAGCAAAAGCAACCGGGUGGCACUGGUUCUGCUUCAGCUCCAGCAGAGCUUAUUUUUGUGUUGGUCAACAAUACAGAGACAAACUCAUAUCCUAGAAACUUCCCCCUCGCCCCAACAGCCGCGCUCUGUGUGAUUUACUGCCAGAGAUGACUCUGUCAUUUCUUUGCUGCAUUGCUGCUGCUGCUGCUGUUUUACCUGGUUUGGUAUGUGAGCUUUCUGAGGUGGUGUGGGAUAUGUAGGAUCUUGUAGGUGACGAAACUGUCUCUUUUUCUUCUUCCUUUCUCUCUUUGGUUCGUGCUCGUCUGUCUGCUCUGGUAGGAUUAUUAAUGAGUUAUCAACGUACGUGCUAGGUAUAAUUUUGAGGAGGUUUGCAUGUUGGUAGUCUGUAAGCAACUAAGGUGCCUCAUGUUCAGGCCUCGCGCUCCCACCUUUGUUGUGCCUCACUUAAAAUGGUGCUUUUUGGGUCGUCUGUCUUUUUCGUUCCAAUUUUGUUGGUUGUGGGUUUUUUUUUCUUUCUUUCUUUCUUUCUUUUUUUUUUUUUUUUUUUUUUAUGGUGCUGUGUAUAACUUGAAUAUAUUAUGCACAUAUCCUACCCAAUGGGUAGAACAACAAACACAUGAAAACAAAUAGAUGUUAAUACUGUAAGAUAAUGUAUAGAUGAUCCCGAUUUUAACACAAAAUAAUGGCAUAGACUUUGUGAAUGCCAACUUCUGUGCUUGGUCCUCUUUUGUAAGAAGAUUUGCAAAUGAAUGCAUACAAAUGACAAAAAGUCUAUGUAUUUUAUUUUCCUAUUAAAUAUCAAUAUAAUACCAUAAGGGAAAAAGUUUGAACAAAUCCUUUUUGACUUGCCUGUGUAUAGCAAUUGGUCGUUGGAUGCAUCUUUGCUGUGAAGAUCUGUUCUUUUUUUUUUUAAAUCUUUAAAUGUGUCACUU